AUGAGGCUGGGGGGUGCAUUCGGGGCAGCGGGGUAUGGGCUACAGAGAGCUUGGGGGGCGCUGUGGUAGGUGGGGGUAAUGGGGGCUGGAGAGACAGGGGCUGAGGGGGCUGGGGGUGCGGGGCAGGGGCUUGGGAUGCGGCGUGGGGUGUUGGGGGGGUCGGGGGGGGCAGGAUUGCCGGGGUGCUGUGCAGGGGACAAACCACCCCUUGUGUUGCUCUGUGCGGGAGAUGUUUGGGCCCGCAUGGGGGGUGAUGCGGUGAGGGGGGGCAAGGGCUGGAAGGGCCGUGCAGCGAGGAGGGGGCUGCGUGGCCAGGGCAGGACCCACUGGCAGUGCCAGCAGGGUUGGGGUGGCCAGACUGGGACCGUUUAUUCUGGGGAGUUUUUCCAGCACUUUGUGUGUUGCAGAAUUUCCUGCUGAGGAGCCACAGCCCCGAGCAGUGACUGCAGGGGGAUACGUUGGCCCCUCGGUGCUUCUGUUUGUGAGGUGGCUGGACCAGAAGAUCGUUCUGCAGGAUGGUGAGAGUGCUACUCUUGCAAUUUGGUUGUGGUCUUUUUAGGUUAGAAAAAGUAGUUUUGCCUAACUACAUGGUAAACAUAAAUAAAAUCUGGUUCUCAAACUUGA